rnacentral:piRNA from 1 species
UUAAGAAAGAACGACAAAAAGAUAC